rnacentral:rRNA from 1 species
UACGUAGGGUGCGAGCGUUGUCCGGAAUUACUGGGCGUAAAGAGCUCGUAGGUGGUUUGUCGCGUUGUUCGUGAAAACUCACAGCUCAACUGUGGGCGUGCGGGCGAUACGGGCAGACGUAGAUACUGCAGGGGAGACUGGAAUUCCUGGUGUAGCGGUGGAAUGCGCAGAUAUCGAGGAGGAACACCGGUGGCGAAGGCGGGUCUCUGGGCAGUAACUGACGCUGAGGAGCGAAAGCGUGGGGAGCAAACAGG